GGCCUCGUAGCUCAGUUGGAUAGAGCGUUGGCUGUACUAAAGCCUUCCCUUUGCUGGCGUGGGUUCAAAUCCCACUGAGACCA
rnacentral:tRNA from 1 species